ACCAAUUCUUUGCCCCACACUCCCUCCCUCCAUCCCCCAAUUGGAGACGGUCAAGUUGUGUAAUUAUACAAUUUGUGUGAUUAACAUUAUCUAACUAAAAUGGCGCGCCAUUGUCGUUUACCUUCAGUGUUUUUCUUGAUCUUCGUGCUCUCCUUACAUCAAAAACGGCGUCGUUCACUGUAAAACCUUCAAGCGUGACGUGAAAGCUUUGAAUGAAAUUUAGUCAUCUCUUGGAUGGAGAGUAGUGUAUGCAUGGGUUGGCGAUGAUCCUUGUGGAGAUGGUGAUUUACCCCCAUGGUCCGGUGUUACAUUUAUCACACAGAGUGAUUAUAGAGUAGUUACUGAACUUAUUAAACUUGCAUGGCAGUUUAUGCUGUUUCCAUUGUUGGACUAUUUCCUACUGCAGUGACUAAUCUGUUGGAUCUUACUCGGCUGGAUCUGCAUAACAACAAGCUGACUGGUCCACUUCCUCCUCAAAUUGGCCGUUCGAAGCGUCUGAAAAUAUUAAAUAUAAGGUGGAAUAAGCUGCAAGAUGUCAUUCCUCCUGA